CUACAAACCCGAACUAUCGUACUACUGCAAAGUAGUAAGGAAAGUCUGGACAACAAAGAGUAAUUCACCGGUUAAGAGCCGGCUAUUGUUUAUGCUACUUGUAGUAAAAACAAUAAGAGAAAGUGCCACAGAAAAUAACUACCAUUUAACCGUGGAAAAGGUGAAAAUGUGAGGUAAAAGCUCACAAUGUUUUGCAGUAAUGUAUUACAUGGGUAAACCUUGAAUGUUGUAAUGCCACGUAUAGAAACCUUUGAGAGCUACUCGUUCAAUGUUUAAUUUUAUUAAACAGGUUUCAGGGUAGGCAGCAAGAUUGUAACAGUAAUGUUACAGCAAGAUAAAUGAUAGUUUAGAAACAGAAUCCGGCUUAUGAGGUUUGUAGCUUU
rnacentral:RNase_P_RNA from 1 species